rnacentral:rRNA from 1 species
AUUGAACGCUGGCGGCAGGCCUAACACAUGCAAGUCGAACGGUAACAGGAAGAAGCUUGCUUCUUUGCUGACGAGUGGCGGACGGGUGAGUAAUGUCUGGGAAACUGCCUGAUGGAGGGGGAUAACUACUGGAAACGGUAGCUAAUACCGCAUAACGUCGCAAGACCAAAGAGGGGGACCUUCGGGCCUCUUGCCAUCCGAUGUGCCCAGAUGGGAUUAGCUAGUAGGUGGGGUAACGGCUCACCUAGGCGACGAUCCCUAGCUGGUCUGAGAGGAUGACCAGCCACACUGGAACUGAGACACGGUCCAGACUCCUACGGGAGGCAGCAGUGGGGAAUAUUGCACAAUGGGCGCAAGCCUGAUGCAGCCAUGCCGCGUGUAUGAAGAAGGCCUUCGGGUUGUAAAGUACUUUCAGCGGGGAGGAAGGGAGUAAAGUUAAUACCUUUGCUCAUUGACGUUACCCGCAGAAGAAGCACCGGCUAACUCCGUG